CACCCAGGACGGUGGAUCACUCGGCUCGUCGGUCGAUGAAGAACGCAGCAAACUGCGCGACGAUAUGUGAACUGCAGGACACAUGAACAUCGACGUUUCGAACGCACAUUGCGGUCCCUGGAUUCCGUUCCCGGGCCACGUCUGGCUGAGGGUAG
rnacentral:rRNA from 1 species